rnacentral:rRNA from 1 species
CUACGUGCCAGCAGCCGCGGUAAUACGGAAGGUCCAGGCGUUAUCCGGAUUUAUUGGGUUUAAAGGGUGCGUAGGCCGUUUGAUAAGCGUGCUGUGAAAUAUAGUGGCUCAACCUCUAUCGUGCAGCGCGAACUGUUGAACUUGAGUGCGUAGUAGGUAGGCGGAAUUCGUGGUGUAGCGGUGAAAUGCUUAGAUAUCACGAAGAACUCCGAUUGCGAAGGCAGCUNACGGGAGCGCAACUGACGCUUAAGCUCGAAGGUGCGGGUAUCAAACAGGAUUAGAUACCCUGGUAGUCCGCACAGUAAACGAUGGAUGCCCGCUGUUGGUACCUGGUAUCAGCGGCUAAGCGAAAGCAUUAAGCAUCCCACCUGGGGAGUACGCCGGCAACGGUGAAACUCAAAUGAAUUGACGGGGGCCCGCACAAGCGGUGGAGCAUGUGGUUUAAUUCGAUGCAACGCGAAGAACCUUACCUACUCUUGACA